UGGCAUACAAUAAGUGCUUAUGUGUGA
rnacentral:piRNA from 1 species